CAGCCGCCGCGGUAAUACAGAGGGUGCAAGCGUUAAUCGGAAUUACUGGGCGUAAAGCGCGCGUAGGUGGUUUGUUAAGUUGGAUGUGAAAGCCCCGGGCUCAACCUGGGAACUGCAUCCAAAACUGGCAAGCUAGAGUACGGUAGAGGGUGGUGGAAUUUCCUGUGUAGCGGUGAAAUGCGUAGAUAUAGGAAGGAACACCAGUGGCGAAGGCGACCACCUGGACUGAUACUGACACUGAGGUGCGAAAGCGUGGGGAGCAAACAGGAUUAGAUACCCCCGUAGUCCUGUCCUUAUACAC
rnacentral:rRNA from 1 species